GGUUCAUUCGUAUAGUGGUUAGUAUAGUGGAUUUUGAUCGUAAAAAGAACGACUUCCAUUGACCCCGGUUCGAACCCGGGAUGGACCU